rnacentral:rRNA from 1 species
CCUACGGGAGACAGCAGUGAGGAAUAUUGGUCAAUGGGCGAGAGCCUGAACCAGCCAAGUCGCGUGAAAGAUGACGGCCCUACGGGUUGUAAACUUCUUUUGUCAGGGAGCAAUUGAGUCCACGUGUGGGCUUAGCGAGAGUACCUGAAGUAAAAGCAUCGGCUAACUCCGUGCCAGCAGCCGCGGUAAUACGGAGGAUGCGAUCGUUAUCCGGAUUUAUUGGGUUAAAAGGGUGCGUAGGCGGAAUAUCAAGUCAGUGGUAAAAAUUCGGGGCUCAACCCCGUCGUGCCGUUGAAACUGAUGUUCUUGAGUGGGCGAGAGGUAUGUGGAAUGCGUGGUGUAGGGGUGAAAUGCAUAGAGAUCACGAAGAAUUCCGAUUGCGAAGGCAGCAUACCGGCGCACAACUGACGCUGAAGCACGAAAGCGUGGGUAUCGAACAGGAUUAGAUACCCGUGUAGUC